ensembl:lncRNA
GUCCAUACAGACCUCCAGACCUCUAUGGUUAGCUGGUGGCAAGCUCCAGUCUCUGAACCCCCAGAGACAAGCUUUAUUUGUACAAGCAAGAUAUUACCACAUGCCCAGGAUCAUCUGGAAGAACCUGUGAAAGUGUCCGUGGCAGGAGUGGAAGCAGGGAAAGUGAUAAUUACUCAAAUGCCACAAACCUUACAAACCUUUGCAGGGGAGCUGAGGAGAAACAACUGACUGAAAAUCAGUAAAGGGUCCUAGGAAGCUUGGAGCAUCUGCCUGAGCCUCUCAGCCAGUCAUGUGAAGUCUUAAGUGUCUAUGAAGAGCUCACAAAGCACCACAUUCAACAAAAGCAACAGGAGUUCACAAGAUGCCGAAGGAGCCUGGGAACAGACACACUGAAGCUGACAAGCAGAUGGUAGCAGCAGAUAUACAGCUGUGUGCGGCGGUCCACAGGGACAUCCUCAUAAAAAGAGAUACAGCAUCACUGUGCAGUCCUGACUGGCCUGGAACUCACUAUGUAGACCAGUUUGGCAAUGAACUCAGAGAUGUGCCUGCCUCUGCCUCCUGAGUGCUGGGGUUAAAGAUUGCCACAAGCAGCCAUCGCUAGAAUUGUAUGUAUCCAUCACUAGGUAGAGUAUGUUACAUCACUGAUGCAGCCCCUCUGCAAACGAGAGCUACAGUUUUGGAAGAACAUAGAAAGCAGACUCUCCUUUCCCAGGAGCUGAGGUGGGGCUUUGUUUAGCUUGAGCUUGUGCACAUUGUCUCAACUACUGUGGGUUCACCUGCACAGCUACAAGAUGUGUCUGGACUGUAUUUGAGGGUUUUUUGUUGUUGUUGUUUUUUGUUUUUUAAGAAGACGCCAUUUGAGGAAGUUAGGGGUGUGUCAACGUGGGAGGAUUGGGGAGAAGAGAAGGACACAAUCAAAACACAUUGUAUGUAAUCCUCAAGACACUAGCAAAAAUGAGGGGAGGGAAAGCCCUAAAAGUGAAAGAAAAACCCACCAGAUAAUCCCUGUACAGUUAGCUAUUGUCACUUUUGUUUAUUGAAGUACUCAAUUUCCUUUAUGAAUUCUAAAACCAUAGGUUUGAAAAGCUAGAUAAAAUACACCCACAGACUUGAUUCUGAUAGUUGUCAAGCAAUAAAAGAUAUUUUUAAUGUUCAAAAGAAAAAGAAGACCAUGGAAGAAGGCUCUAGAUGCCUCAGGUGGAUUCAUAAUUCACAUCAUGGCAGGUGUUCUGGGGAAGGGCAGAACCUUCUAGAAGAACAGGAGGCAAUGCUUAGUCUAGGUGGGUAAGGCCGGACUCACUGGGGCGGGUGGCUGAAGUAGGAAUCCUAGUGUUGUGAUAACAGAGUAACUGCUAUUGGGUGAUAUAUAAAGAGACAAGGCUUGUUGGACUACGUGCCAUGGCAUCACUACACUUCUGUGACAGAUUGAAUGUUUGCUUAAGGAAGGGCCAAGGGGCAAGGUGGUCUCACUUCUAAUACUACAGCCUGUUGUUGUGAUAACUGACCCAGUCACAGGAGGCAUGACACACUUCCAUGAGGUAACAUUAGACUACUUCCAACUUACAGCUUCCAAGUCCCACAUACCUUCAUCUUUCAGAGGUACCACACUUGGGCACCACCUCCGCCAGCAUGUGAGUUUUGGGAGGAUUGGUCAUAUCCAAAUCAUACCAAAGGACUGCAGGAUUGGCAAGACUCCAGAGUCAUGGAAAAAUGGGAAGACCCAACUGGCAAGGAAAGAGAGGGCAUGGUGGUGAGACUCCAGCUACCUGGGAAGGGGUUCGGGACUGUGCUAGAGAAACACAGGCAUUUCCAGGCGGCGCAACCAAGUCCAACAAUCUCAGUGCCAUCCCAGGGAGUCUGCCAGCUGUGGAAUUAUUCUAGAAAAUAUCUUCAUGAUCUUUCCUCAGACCUUCUCAGUUUGGCAGCUAGCCAGUUGCCAAGGUUAGGCUCAGUGUAGCUGGAGUAGUUGGGAUUAGGGAUGAGUCUGAAGACAGGUUUAGCAGUGAGUCUGAAGCCAGUGUUAAGUUUAGUGUGAAGCCACGCUUGAGGUUCAUUCUGUCAUUGGGGUUCAGGUUUGUCAGCACACACUGGUUUCUUAUUAGAUCCCAUUUUUUUCUUACUUACAUGCACGAAGUAGAUCAAAGUUUAACCAGCUGGUCUUUUCUCUGCCGUUUUUCACCUGUCUUUCUUGGUCUCUUCCAGCUGGAUGUCCUCCUCUCUCUGAUCCCCCACCCACGCAUAUAUAGAAGUCUUUCUCUUCAUCUAGCUCCUCACUCCAUUCUCAUAUUUUGAUGGGGAUUGGAGGGAGGCCUCACUAUUACCCCGGGCUAGCCUUCAAUUCGCCAUCCUGCCUCUGCCUCCUGGAUGGUCUCACCCUAUUCUUAUUAGCCGAACCCUCAGGCAAUGGGGAUCUGUCUUGGGCUAUGAGGAAGGGGUCAUAUCAUGAGAGGAGGCAGUAGUGAGGCUGCCAUCAGUUGCAAGAGGCAGCAGGGAUCCCUGUCCCCUUGGCCAUCCCCACAACCAGUGGCCAGUGCUUUCUCCUUUAUCCAUGCCAGGACUGUAGCCUUACUCAGCACCCUGGAAUCCUGGCCCACACAAUACCUGGGCACUUUCGAGGCAGGUAAGUGAAACUUUAAUCCCAGUGUUCCUUUGGUUCCUGAUCCCCCCAGCCACCAUGGUCUCAGCUGGGCCACUCCCUUGCCAUGUCCCCAGCAAGCCACUAAAGGACUUAGCCCAACUCAGACAGCUAGGUGUUGGGUGGAGGGAGUAUGACAGGAGGGACCACAGAGCCAAUAAUGUAUCCUUAUCACUGCCACUUUCCUGGGUGCACACCUUCCUGGCAGUAGGUCUUGGGCUGCCUUCCAGUUUGGCUGUCCUCCUCCUAGCCUUCAUUCAUGCCUUGACACGCAGGAGUUUCAGGAGUUCUCCACAGAUGCAGAGCCCAGCCUGGUUCUAAGGCAACCCAGGGAGGGAGGAACCACAUUCCCUCCUUCAGUUGGCUUCCCUCUUCUCCCUCUCCCUUCCCUCUUCCUUCUCUUCCCCUCCCCUCUCCUCCUCUCCCUCUCCCUUCCCUCUCCUCCCUUCUUUUCCCCUCCCCUCUCCUCCUCUCCCUCUCCCUUCCCUUCCCCCUCUUUUCUCCUUCUGUCUUCCUCUUUAUCCUCAUCUUUCUUUCUCAUCCUCUCUUCCUCCUACAUCCCCCAUCUCCCUCCCUUCUUCCUCAUCUUCUUCCUCCUUCUAGCUUCUUGCCCUUUGUCUCCCCUUAUCUCCUCUUCCUCUUGUAUCUUCUUUCUUAUCUUCCUCUCCCACCUGCUCCUCCUCUCUUGCUCAUCUUCCUCUCACUUUCCCCUUCCUCUCCCUCCUCGCCUUCCCUCACCUCUCUCUCUCUCUCUCUCUCUCUCUCUCUCUCUCUCUCUCUCUCUCUCCCCUUUGGUUUGACCACCCUCCCUGUCUAUUCGGCCUCCCAUCCUCAUCUUCCCUCUACCCAUUUACCAUCAUAUGGUACCAUCUCCAUCUUCAGGUUCACUGCUUCUGUAUCUUCCAUUGCUUGCUCGCAGACCAUCCCCCACCAUCAUCCCAGAGCAGAUUUCCUUCUGAACUCUUUCACAACAGAGACCCGCCACAGAUAUCCACCGAUGAUGAUGACAAUUUGAGAGAAUGGCCCUUCCUUGGUGUCUCUCACCCAAUUAUCUCCCUGUAGGAAAUCUCAUCACUGAAUCACUCCUUGGAGCUCCAGCAACUUAAAAACCACUGCACAUUCUAUGUGCUCUAACUAAGCAGGGACCCACAGAAUGUUAGGUGCUGGGAAUGUAUGAGUAAGACACAUACCUGUCCUCUGAGAGUUCACAGUAGGGGGGAGGUGGGCCCAGAACCCAGAGCUGAAAAGACUGAGUACCAGUUUACUGUAACAGAUCAAGGUAAGUAAUACCAGAGAAUGACUGAGGGUGCAGCCCCCACUCAGCUGUCCGAGACAAAGUCACAAAACUCACCGUGUAGCCGAGAAUGACUUUGAACUUCUGAUCCGACAUUUCCUAAGUGCUAGAAUUACAGGUGAGGUGUGUACCUCCAUACCUGUGUUGUGCUGCACUGGGGAGGCAACCCAGAACUCUGUGGGAGGCAAGCGCUCUACCAGCUCAGCUCCAGCCCUGGUCUGCUCUCUUGAAGAUGAGGAGUUUGUGAUAGAAGAAGCAACUGGUAAGGACUUCUGGGCUCUCUAGAUGAACUGUGUGAUGGUGAGGAAUAGGGUGUCCAUCUCAGGAAAGACAGCUUCAAAGAGGGGACUCCAGAGCCCCAAGCAAUCAGCUUAUGGAGGCCUAAGUGAUGACACUUAAACACAAAGGAGGAAAAGGUGAGAGACUGCUCAGGCCCAGAUAGUAGACUUGGACUUGAACUCUUGGCAGUUAGAGAGCCAUAGCAAUUUCUCCCGCAUGGAAUGAUUGGGCUGCAAAGUGAUUUACCAAAAAGUAAGUCACUACAGUGUACUGCCAGCUUCACUCUCUGAGGACUCUGUAGACGGGCAUUGUCUACACCACAGAUUCCAGCCCCAUUGAAGACCUAAUGCAUCUGAGUACCAUGGAUGCUUGUAGGGUGAGGUUCUUGUGUACAUGCCCAGGGAACCAGGGAAAACAGGACUCGAGGUAGUCACAUAACCUUGUGCUCAAUCCUCCAGUAGCUCCUCGUGCCUUGUGACAUAUUGGAAUCUUCUCCAUGGUCUGUGCCCUGAGUGGUUGCAUCUUGUGUCCCUUAUCAUCUGUUCUCCAGGGGAGGGGACAGUUCUUGGAAGCUUCCAUCCUUGGAGCUUGAACAGGGGCUUCCCUGGGGAGGCCUUCCAGGCUUGGGACAGGGAGGCUUGGUCUUGUCUCUGGGUCACAAUCGGAAGCCUUGACUGCUGGGCAGGCACCCGAGGGUGGGGCACUUGGCAAAUUGGAGCCUAUAAAGCACUUAGCAGCAUGAAGGAUGACAGGGAUAAGGAAUGUAGCACUAAUCCCAUCUCUUGAGUCAGAGGAGGAGCUGGGGAGGGGACAGUCCCUAGGCACUCUAGGACCAACCAGUCCAUCACCUGCACAGGACCCAUCUCAUCUCCAAAAGAUCUGCCUUGUCUGAGCCUGUACCCCAGGGGUUCUAGAGUUCCCCCCUUUCAAGGUAACUCCACUAGGGGGUGACUGGCUUCUUCUACUUUUCUGGACAUAUGGAGACAGCAGCAGGAAUGAGGAGACCUCUGCCUUCAGAAGCAUCUGGAAGGUCUGCAGUCAGUUCUUGGAGAUGUAGCUCGGCGGUAAAGCCUCUGCUUAGCAGGCACCAGACUCUGGGUUUAGUCACUAGCUCUGCAGAUGGAAAUGUUAUUUCUUCUUCCAUCUGGACACGCAUGGUGAUGAGCAACCAAGGGACAGCCUCAAAGCAGCUUGGGCUCAUCAGAUCACAGAGUCACCAUGCAGUGUGAGUCUAGUGCCGUGGAUCUGGGAAUCGGACCUUCCAUGCUUCCUU